GACGAACGCUGGCGGCGUGCUUAACACAUGCAAGUCGAACGGAAAGGCCCUGCUUUUGUGGGGUGCUCGAGUGGCGAACGGGUGAGUAACACGUGAGUAACCUGCCCUUGACUUUGGGAUAACUUCAGGAAACUGGGGCUAAUACCGGAUAGGAGCUCCUGCUGCAUGGUGGGGGUUGGAAAGUUUCGGCGGUUGGGAUGGACUCGCGGCUUAUCAGCUUGUUGGUGGGGUAGUGGCUUACCAAGGCUUUGACGGGUAGCCGGCCUGAGAGGGUGACCGGCCACAUUGGGACUGAGAUACGGCCCAGACUCCUACGGGGGGCAGCAGUGGGGAAUAUUGCACAAUGGGCGGAAGCCUGAUGCAGCAACGCCGCGUGCGGGAUGACGGCCUUCGGGUUGUAAACCGCUUUCGCCUGUGACGAAGCGUGAGUGACGGUAAUGGGUAAAGAAGCACCGGCUAACUACGUG
rnacentral:rRNA from 1 species